AGCGAACGCUGGCGGCAGGCCUAACACAUGCAAGUCGAACGAACCUUUCGGGGUUAGUGGCGGACGGGUGAGUAACACGUGGGAACGUGCCUUUAGGUUCGGAAUAACUCAGGGAAACUUGUGCUAAUACCGAAUGUGCCCUUCGGGGGAAAGAUUAAUCGCCUUUAGAGCGGCCCGCGUCUGAUUAGCUAGUUGGUUGAGGUAAUGGCUCACCAAGGCGACGAUCAGUAGCUGGUCUGAGAGGAUGAUCAGCCACAUUGGGGCUGAGACACGGCCCAAACUCCUACGGAAGGCAGCAGUGGGUAAUCUUGCGCAAUGGGGGAAGGCCUGACGCAGCCAUGCCGGGUGAAUGAUGAAGGUCUUAGGAUUGUAAAAUUCUUUCACCGGGGACGAUAAUGACGGUACCCGGAGAAGAAGCCCCGGCUAACUUCGUG
rnacentral:rRNA from 1 species